rnacentral:rRNA from 1 species
AUUUGGGUUUUGAGGACUGUAAGUCAGUAAUUGGUAAUGAUUAGAGUAUUGAGAUAUCAGCCUCUGCUGUUUCUCUAGCCUAUGUUCUCUGAUCUUCUAGAUCAGAGCACCAUUUUCAUGUAAUUACAGUUCUUCUGCUCAUGUCUUGCAGUUUUCUGAAAAUUUAAAGUUAGUGUAAGUCUAAUAUAUACUAAGUAGCUUGUAAUCUGCACUAGUUGUACUCUAUAUCCACAUCAGCAAGAUCAAAGCACCCAUUUUAUGUAAUUACAGUUCUGUUUGAUCACGACUUACUGUACCUAUCUUCUGGUUUUACAGUUUUCUAAAAAAAUUCAUUCCUUGCUAGCUCUAGUGUACUUAUGAUACAUAGUUGUUUGUAAUCUGUACUAGCUGAUGUCCUAUAUGACCU